AACGAACGCUGGCGGCAUGCCUAACACAUGCAAGUCGAACGAGACCUUCGGGUCUAGUGGCGCACGGGUGCGUAACGCGUGGGAACCUGCCCUUAGGUUCGGAAUAACUCCCCGAAAGGGGUGCUAAUACCGGAUAAUGUCUUCGGACCAAAGAUUUAUCGCCUUUGGAUGGGCCCGCGUUGGAUUAGCUAGUUGGUAGGGUAAAAGCCUACCAAGGCGACGAUCCAUAGCUGGUCUGAGAGAAUGAUCAGCCACACUGGGACUGAGACACGGCCCAGACUCCUACGGGAGGCAGCAGUGGGGAAUAUUGGACAAUGGGCGAAAGCCUGAUCCAGCAAUGCCGCGUGAGUGAUGAAGGCCUUAGGGUUGUAAAGCUCUUUUACCCGGGAUGAUAAUGACAGUACCGGGAGAAUAAGCUCCGGCUAACUCCGU
rnacentral:rRNA from 1 species